GGCUGGUUGGGGCCGGCUGACUGAGAAAUUGGGCAGGCCGCGGGACCCUCGGAUUGUGCGUGACUACCGGCAGCCUCUCGGGAGGCCGUUUCGAUUUUUUUUUUUUUUUUUUGUCCUCGGCACCCUCCACGGGACUCUGGGCCUCAGUUUUCCUACCUGAGAAGAAGGGUGUGGAGCCGUCCCCCUGCCCACAGUCCGCGGUGAUGGGGCAAACCGAGGUCGAGCCGCUCUGGUUUGCCCAGCAAAGGUUCUACAGGUACUUAGGUGGCAGCUCAUCCCUGUGGUUCCCGUGUGGCCCCAGUUCUGCCCUCUGAAGCUCAGAGCCCACAUACCAGAUGUUACGGAACCUCUUUACCUUGGCUGCCCCUCUCGGCAAAUAUGUGGCCAGACUAGAAUGUUCAAGCCCGGACUGCAGGAUGAACCUUCAGGACUGAGUCUCCUUUGGAUUUGCCCAGCUAGUGACUACAACUGAAGCCCUGAGACAUGUACUCCUUGGGACCAGGAAAGGUGAGAAGGGCAUCCUGAAAAUCCUUCCUGAAGAUGAUAAGACUUGGCAUCAUUUCGAGAGGCUUAUUUGUCAUUGAUACUGCCCCAGGAGCUGGGGGAAUUGAGUGGCACCUGAGGAUAAUGAACUAAGGACACCUCUGGCUCAGAACUUGAGAAAAUCCCUCUGGACCCAAAGAGGCCACAAGCCCACAGAUUAAAGCCCAAAUUCUACAGAAAUGAAUUUUUGUGUAAAUAAAUGAUUUUAGCUUAUGUUGGAUUGGGGCCCCAACCACUUGUGGGAGUGGCCGUGGUCUCUGGGUCAG